rnacentral:rRNA from 1 species
UACCAGCACCCCGAGUGGUCGGGGCGAUUAUUGGGCCUAAAGCAUCCGUAGCCGGUCCUACAAGUCUUCCGUUAAAUCCACCUGCUCAACAGAUGGGCUGCGGAAGAUACUAUAGGGCUAGGAGGCGGGAGAGGCAAGCGGUACUCAGUGGGUAGGGGUAAAAUCCUCUGAUCCAUUGAAGACCACCAGUGGCGAAGGCGGCUUGCCAGAACGCGCUCGACGGUGAGGGAUGAAAGCUGGGGGAGCAAACCGG